rnacentral:rRNA from 1 species
AGUGAACGCUGGCGGUAGGCCUAACACAUGCAAGUCGAACGGCAGCACAGUAAGAGCUUGCUCUUACGGGUGGCGAGUGGCGGACGGGUGAGGAAUACAUCGGAAUCUACUUUUUCGUGGAGGAUAACGUAGGGAAACUUACGCUAAUACCGCAUACGACCUACGGGUGAAAGCAGGGGAUCUUCUGACCUUGCGCGAUUGAAUGAGCCGAUGUCGGAUUAGCUAGUUGGCGGGGUAAAGGCCCACCAAGGCGACGAUCCGUAGCUGGUCUGAGAGAAGGAUAGGCGGCACUGGAGCUGGAACAGCGUCCAGACUCCUACGAGAGGCAGCAGUGGGGAAUAUUGGGCAAUGGGCGGAAGCCUGAUCCAGCCAUACAGCGUGGGUGAAGAAGGCCUUCGGGUUGUAAAGCCCUUUUGUUGGGAAAGAAAAGCAGCAGGUUAAUACCCCGCUGUUCUGACGGUACCCAAAGAAUAAGCACCGGCUAACUUCGUG